rnacentral:rRNA from 1 species
UACAGAGGUCUCAAGCGUUGUUCGGAUUCAUUGGGCGUAAAGGGUGCGUAGGUGGCGGGGCAAGUCUGGUGUGAAAUCCCGGGGCUCAACCCCGGAACUGCACUGGAUACUGCCUUGCUAGAGCACUGGAGAGGGAACUGGAAUUUACGGUGUAGCAGUGAAAUGCGUAGAUAUCGUAAGGAAGACCAGUGGCGAAGGCGAGUUCCUGGACAGUUGCUGACACUGAGCACGAAGGCUAGGGGAGCAAACGGG